AUGAUGGACUAUAGGACAGGACUGCUGCUUUUUACUGUCUGCUGGGCAGGUGUUGAUGGUCAGACUCUGACACAAUCUGAAGCAGUGGUUAAAAGGCCUGGAGAAUCCCACAGACUGACCUGUUCAGCCUCUGGAUUCACAUUCAGCAACUACCAUAUGAACUGGGUCAGACAGGCUCCUGGAAAAGGACUGGAGUGGAUCUCUUUCAUACACACAUCCAGUUCUUAUAUCUAUUACUCCUCGUCAGUCCGGGGCAGAUUCACCAUCUCCAGAGAUGACUCCAGCAGUAAACUCUAUCUUCAGAUGAACAGUCUGCAGACUGAAGACACUGCAGUGUAUUACUGUGCCAGAGAGACACAGUGAGAGACAAGAGCAGGAGA